UAUAUAUUAAUAUGUGUGUCACGGUGAAAAAAAAACAGUCCAAGUAGAUUCUGUGUGCAAUCUACGUUGGUGCAAUGCAAGUAAAAAUGCGAAAAAAGUUUAUGUAUAAUGAUAGUGAUGGCAUAGCUGCAGUUCCUUUGAUGCUAUUUCGGUGGGGAAAUAUGCACCCAUCUUCCCCUUUUCGACCGUCUGUCAUAUCCUUGAUUAUCAAUGUGUGUGUCUGUGGUUUCCUGAUCGCGUUAGCAAUCAAAGGAAUCAUAGUGUCUUACAACAAUGAUAUUUUCUUCACGGUUGAGUGUCUACAAACUUGUAAUUUGAUGUUUCACGGCAUUGGAAAAUUCCUAAACCUGUUUUUUCACAGAGCCAAUUUGAAGAUUUUGGUGGAAAGCCGGUCACAAUUCUGGAAAAUUGACGAUUUCAAAGGGGAGGACAUUUACGAUGAAAUGGAAAAAAUAAAAACCGUUAUGGGCAAAGGAUUGAUUUACUAUUA